AACGCGAAGAACCUUACCAGCCCUUGACAUCCCGGUCGCGGAGAGCAGAGACGCACUCCUUCAGUUCGGCUGGACCGGAGACAGGUGCUGCAUGGCUGUCGUCAGCUCGUGUCGUGAGAUGUUGGGUUAAGUCCCGCAACGAGCGCAACCCUCGCCCUUAGUUGCCAUCAUUUAGUUGGGCACUCUAGGGGGACUGCCGGUGAUAAGCCGGAGGAAGGUGGGGAUGACGUCAAGUCCUCAUGGCCCUUACGGGCUGGGCUACACACGUGCUACAAUGGCGGUGACAGAGGGAUGCAAAGGGGCGACCCUUCGCAAAUCUCAAAAAACCGUCUCAGUUCGGAUUGGGGUCUGCAACUCGACCCCAUGAAGUUGGAAUCGCUAGUAAUCACAGAUCAGCACGCUGCGGUGAAUACGUUCCCGGGUCUUGUACACACCG
rnacentral:rRNA from 1 species